GACGGGGGGGGCAAGUGUUCUUCGGAAUGACUGGGCGUAAAGCGUGUGUAGGCGGUCCACUAAGUCGGAUGUGAAAGCCCUGGGCUCAACCCAGGAAGUGCACUCGAAACUGGCGGGCUAGAGUAUCGGAGAGGUUGGUGGAAUUCUCGGUGUAGAGGUGAAAUUCGUAGAUAUCGAGAGGAACACCGGUGGCGAAGGCGGCCAACUGGACGAAUACUGACGCUGAGACACGAAAGCGUGGGGAGCAAACAGG
rnacentral:rRNA from 1 species